rnacentral:rRNA from 1 species
ACCGGUUGAUCCUGCCGGACCCGACCGCUAUCGGGGUAGGGCUAAGCCAUGCGAGUCGCGCGCGGGGCGCCCCGGAGCGGCGCACGGCUCAGUAACACGUGCCUAACCUAACCUCGGGAGGGGGACACCCCCGGGAAACUGGGGUCAAUCCCCCAUAGGGGAAGGGCGCUGGAAGGCCCCUUCCCCGAAAGGGACGGCGGCCGAUCCGUCGCCGUCCGCCCGAGGGUGGGGGCACGGCCCAUCAGGUAGUUGGCGGGUUAAAGGCCCGCCAAGCCGAAGACGGGUAGGGGCGGUGAGAGCCGCGAGCCCCGAGAUCGGCACUGAGACAAGGGCCGAGGCUACGGGGUGCAGCAGGCGCGAAUACUCCGCAAAUGGGGGAAGGCCGGAUCGCGCGCUUCCGGCCUCCCCCAGCGGAAUGCGGGCAACCGCGACGGGGCUACCCCGAGUGCGGGCGAAGAGCCCGGCUUUUGCCCGGUCUAAAACGCCGGGCGAAUAAGCGGGGGGCAAGUCUGGUGUCAGCCGCCGCGGUAAUACCAGCUCCGCGAGACCGGGGCUUCCCACAGAAAAGAUAUAACCCUCCUCUCUUUCCCUCUGGCAUGAGGGGGGCAGCCGACAGGAAGUACAUUGCGGGCGUCGUAAUGGGAGACGGAAUGGUUUAUCACAGGGCUAAAACGGGGUAUGAGGUGAAAAUAACGGAUAAAAACGAGGCUUACAUUAAGUACUUAGCGGAUCUCAUCAGCGCAGUAUACGGGAUAACGCCGAGAGUGGCCAAAGACCCUCUCAGAAACGCCUGGCGGCUCAGAGCCUUUAAAAAGGCGCUGUACCUGCAGAUAAAACGCGAUAUAGAGUGGGCCAAGGGCGAGCCCGACAGCCACGUUGUAGGAGGGCUGUACGACGCGGAGGGAUACUGGAACCCUAAAAAGAGAAAGCUGGCUUUUACUAAUAAGGAAGUCUUUAUUAUAAAGCUGGUGAGCCAGUUCCUCAGCGGCCAAAACAUAAGCCACUCAGUAUACCAGAGGAAAAAGGGGCAGUACAGCUGGUACGUAAUAGAAGUCCACAAACAACAAGCGCUUAGAUUAAUGUCAAUACUAGACCUCAGACACCCGAAAUGGGGCGUGGCCCCUCCCUAACCCCCCUUUUUCGGAACUCCUCUGUGGGAGCCCCGGCGCGAGUGGUCGGGGUGUUUACUGGGCUUAAAGCGCCCGUAGCCGGCCCGGCAAGUCGCUCCUGAAAUCCCCGGGCUCAACCCGGGGGCGGGGGGCGAUACUGCCGGGCUAGGGGGCGGGAGAGGCCGCCGGUACUCCGGGG